UACAGAGGGUGCGAGCGUUAAUCGGAAUUACUGGGCGUAAAGGGCGCGUAGGCGGUUUAUCAAGUGAGAUGUGAAAUCCCCGGGCUUAACCUGGGAACUGCAUCUUAAACUGGUAAGCUGGAGUACUGUAGAGGACAGUGGAAUUUCCGGUGUAGCGGUGAAAUGCGUAGAGAUCGGAAGGAACAUCCGUGGCGCAAGCGCCUAUCUGGCCAUGACCUGACGCUGAGGCACGAAAGCGUGGGGAGCGAACCGG
rnacentral:rRNA from 1 species